rnacentral:sRNA from 1 species
GGAUGGAGCUAGAGUUGAAGGAAUUCUAGCCACGUCCAGAGCCAUAGGUAUACCUUUCUCAAUUCUCAUAUUGUAGUAAAAGAUGAUUUUAGUUGAUAGUGUUGAAGAUGGCAAGGAACUAGAGCCUAUAAGGGCAAUAAUAAUCAUUUCGGAUUUGGGGUUUAGGGUUUUAAGUUUACUAACUAAGGUACUAUGGAUUGGUUUCAUUUGGUGCGAGUUCUUUUGUUGAUUAAUUCUAAUUCUAUUUUCAAAGAUGUUUUAUAAUUGUUCCUUUAAAAAAAAAAUAUGUAAAUUUUACUCUCUUUUUUUUGUCAAAAUGUUAACUAGAAAUUUUACAUUGGUCCUAAUAGUUUAACAUUU